AUCUGCCCAAACCACCAUGGAACCUGAAAGAAUAACAGUGCAGAAGAUCCAGAUAGGUUGCCUUGGUAACACCAGCUUUCCUCAUGGAAAUACGGAGAUGCACAGAGUUUUGACGAUCCUAGAUGAGCCUGAAAUAACUUUGGAUCCAGCAAAACAACAUCACAUGGUAACAUUAUGUCACUACAUGUUUAUGUGUAGCUAUAGCAGGGUGUCACUAUGAUGCAAUAUCAUUGUACUA